rnacentral:rRNA from 1 species
GACGAACGCUGGCGGCGUGCUUAACACAUGCAAGUCGAACGGACAGGCCUCUUUCGUGGUUUACUCGAGUGGCGAACGGGUGAGUAACACGUGCGUAACCUGCCCUUGUCUUUGGGUUAACUUCAUUCAACUGGGGCUAAUACCUGCUAGAUGCUCCUUCUGCAUGGUUGGUGCUGGAGAGUUUCGGCGGUUGGGUGUGGCUUCGCGGAUUAUCCGCUUGUUGGUGGGGUAGUGGCUUACCAAGGCGUUGCCGGGUAGCCGGCCUGAGAGAGUGAGCGGCCACAUUGGGACUGAGAGACGGCCCAGACUCCUACGGGAGGCAGAAGGGGGGAAUAUUGCACAAGGGGUGGAAGCCUGAUGCAGCAGCGCCGUGGGCGGGAUGACGGCCUUCGGGGGGAAGACCGCAUGCGUUCAUGACGAAGCUUUGUGUGACGGUAGUGGGUAAAGAAGCAACGGCUAACUACGUG